GAUGACCUUUUGCGGCGUGCUUAACACAUGCAAGUCGAACGAAGCACUUUACCGGAUUUCUUCGGGAUGAAAGUUUUGUGACUGAGUGGCGGACGGGUGAGUAACGCGUGGGUAACCUGCCUCAUACGGGGGGAUAACAGUUAGAAAUGACUGCUAAUACCGCAUAAGACCACAGGAUUGCAUGAUCCGGUGGUAAAAACUCCGGUGGUAUGAGAUGGACCCGCGUCUGAUUAGGUAGUUGGUGGGGUAACGGCUCACCAAGCCGACGAUCAGUAGCCGACCUGAGAGGGUGACCGGCCACAUUGGGACUGAGGCACGGCCCAAACUCCUACGGGAGGCAGCAGUGGGGAAUAUUGCACAAUGGGGGAAACCCUGAUGCAGCGACGCCGCGUGAGCGAUGAAGUAUUUCGGUAUGUAAAGCUCUAUCAGCAGGGAAGAAAAUGACGGUACCUGACUAAGAAGCACCGGCUAAAUACGUGCCAGCAGCCGCGGUAAUACGUAUGGUGCAAGCGUUAUCCGGAUUUACUGGGUGUAAAGGGAGCGUAGACGGAGAGGCAAGUCUGAUGUGAAAACCCGGGGCUCAACCCCGGGACUGCAUUGGAAACUGCUUUUCUAGAGUGUCGGAGAGGUAAGUGGAAUUCCUAGUGUAGCGGUGAAAUGCGUAGAUAUUAGGAGGAACACCAGUGGCGAAGGCGGCUUACUGGACGAUGACUGACGUUGAGGCUCGAAAGCGUGGGGAGCAAACAGAAGUAGAUACCCUGGUAGUCCACGCCGUAAACGAUGACUGCUAGGUGUCGGGAGGCAAAGCCUUUCGGUGCCGCAGCAAACGCAAUAAGCAGUCCACCUGGGGAGUACGUUCGCAAGAAUGAAACUCAAAGGAAUUGACGGGGACCCGCACAAGCGGUGGAGCAUGUGGUUUAAUUCGAAGCAACGCGAAGAACCUUACCUGCCCUUGACAUCCGGCUGACCGGCGAGUAAUGUCGCCUUUCCUUCGGGACAGCCGAGACAGGUGGUGCAUGGUUGUCGUCAGCUCGUGUCGUGAGAUGUUGGGUUAAGUCCCGCAACGAGCGCAACCCUUAUCUUUAGUAGCCAGCAUUUCGGAUGGGCACUCUAGAGAGACUGCCAGGGAUAACCUGGAGGAAGGUGGGGAUGACGUCAAAUCAUCAUGCCCCUUAUGGGCAGGGCUACACACGUGCUACAAUGGCGUAAACAAAGGGAGGCAAGCCUGCGAGGGUGAGCAAAUCCCAAAAAUAACGUCUCAGUUCGGAUUGUAGUCUGCAACUCGACUAUAUGAAGCUGGAAUCGCUAGUAAUCGCGAAUCAGAAUGUCGCGGUGAAUACGUUCCCGGGUCUUGUACACGCCGCCCGUC
rnacentral:rRNA from 1 species